rnacentral:tRNA from 1 species
GGAGGGUUGCCGGAGCGGCCGAACGGGGCGGUCUUGAAAACCGCUGGCACCGCGAGGUGCCCGGGGGUUCGAAUCCCUCACCCUCCG